AACCUGGUCCCAGUCUACUGCUCCAGCCCUCUCUACUCUUGGCCAAGGCCUAUCAUUGCUCAUCUGUGCAAGUGCUAUUCAUUCUCACCAUCGUUUCUGGGUCUGAAGUUACAAUAAAGUGCUGGCAAAGUCUUGUUUAGAUGGCUGACAUUCCUCCCAGAAGGUGCAGGAAUUCAGAGGCUUGUAUGUAGAUUAAGUGAAACAACACUUUGUUUUGCUUUCUAGCUAAAAGUUGACCCUUCUUACUAAUGAGAGAAGAUCAACUGGUCAAGAAGAAUGGGCCGACUGACCUUUUGGCCAUUUUUUUCCUGAACCAUUUAGGGAGGUUUUGCCCCUUCUUUAGGAUUCUUAACAAGCUUCCCUCCACCAAGUCAAGUCAAUUCUUCUUGACUCACCUUCCUCCCUCCCGCCUCUGUUCCCUAUCUCCCCUCCACACCCUACCUGGGAUGAACCCAGCUUUGGGGGUGGGGCCUCCAGCAGUGCUUGGUGGAUGUGGCUUCUCCUCCCCGGUGCUAAUGCGGCCUGUUGACAGCACAGAGGGGGUCUUAGGUCCUGCCUCCUUCAUGGGAGAACCCUGGCAAGAUGGGAUUUCACCCACCCCGUCUAAGCCCUGCUUUGCCUCCUCUUCUUGGUCUGGGAUGGCUGAUUUAUUAGUGAAGAUUGAUCUCAGGUGAGUGUUAACUGUCAGCACCUGCACGGUCAAUGCACUCAGGCUGUCCUCCGCCUCAGCUCCUUUACGGUAAUGGGUAAUGCAUGUUUUGUUGCCACAUUGGUGGAUCCAUUCAGAGUUAUUUGUAUAUUUCCUGGUGAUACUAUUGGAUGAUGGAGAUCUUUGGGGGUGGAUGUGUGUGGGGAAGGAAUGUGCGGGUGGGUUAUUACACUAAAUACUCAUCUCCAACUCUCAGAACAAACCACAUCCAAAUCUCCAAAUUCUGAAUCCUUGUGCUCCUGCCAGAGCUGGACUGUCUCCCUUAUCCUUUGUCUGUGCCUGCAGGGCCUCGGUCCAUGUGUUCUCCUCUGAUCUUUCCUACGUCUGAGGGAUUGUUGUUGAACCCUUAUUUUGCUUUUUGGUUUAUUCAGGGUAGGCUAAUUAUUCAAACAAACAAAACAAAAUCUGAGCAGCUUAAAACGCUGGUAAUGUGAUUCUUGCUCACAUCACAGUCCACGUAGGUUGGGCAGCAUCUUCCCAGAAGACGACCCAGGAAUGAAGCACUUUCCAUCAUGGCAGAGCCAUCUUCAGUCUGUGGCCUCUGAGGGCACCACGGAAGGGCAAGGAGAGUCUAGGAUCUCACCGGCAUGUUUCAGGGGCCAGGUCCGAGAGGAGCACACCAAGUUUCUGAGCAUGUUCCCUUCGCCAGGAAUCAGUCACCUGGCCCUAUUUACCUACUGGGGACACCAGGACAUGUGGCUGAGCUACCUGGCCAGCAGGAAAAGGAACCCACUUGAGGGAGGUCGUGGUCCUUCAUGGAAAAAUCAGACCUAUAUGGAACAAACACUGAGGAUCUCUUUUGGCCAUGAGGGGGCAGAAUGGACAUUGCCUGGGCACUGAAGAGGUUCGGUUGUGCUCUCUGAUGUGUGACGCUGUGCUUCCUUGGUCUGUCAACCUUUUGGGGACAGGUUAACCCUUUAAUUCAUUCAUCCCUGAACUCUAUUCUGGGUUUACUUAUUAUGGAGCAGGAUCAUAAAGAAGUGUGCAACCUGGGACUUGUGAGUCUGAAUCAUUCCUGAUAAGUUAGAAAGGAAUGAAUGAGAAAGUAGAAACA
rnacentral:lncRNA from 1 species